rnacentral:lncRNA from 1 species
UGGGAACAUGUGGUCAACAUGUGGGAACAUGUGGAAGAUAUGGGCCUGGGCACCUGAGCGUGUGUAUGUAUGUGUGUGUGUGCUUGUGCACUGGCACUCAGAUGCUUGUGCAAGACAGGCACCCAGAGAGGCAUGGGCUGAGAUGGGGAGGAAGGAGGAGCACACACUAAGGUGGCCAGACCCAGAAGGAUCCUGAGGGCUUCCUGAAGAGGAUGGCCUUCCUGCCGAAGAUGGCUUAGAGUUUGCAUGAAGACAUUAAAGCCCCUCCUCUAUCCUAUACUUCAUAGCCACGUCAUGGCUCCUGUCCCUCUGGAGGCUGCUCUACCACAGGAAGACAAGCGCUGCUCCUAUCUUCACCGACUUCUCUCCCCAAAGAAACAGACAACCUGGUGGGAAAACAGCAUCACCCCAACUUGGAGCAGCUGGGAGGGACCUGGACCACCAUUCUGCCCCAGGCCCCUCUGCCAUUCUGCAGGAGCACGUUUUGCAGGAUGUGAGAGAAGUGUGCAUCCUGCGAGGAGCUUGAACCCUCACAGGAUUGACUCCUUUGACUGGAAGCCAUGAGGACAGCAAGAACUUGUUGAGGAUCAGAAGCCUUCAAAUCUCCAGUGCUGGAAAAUAGAGUGCCCGCUGUCUUGAUCUUUGAAGCAGUCCUAACAACUACCAGGCACAGCAGACAGUGAUCCAGAGAUGAGGAUGGGGAUGAUGACAG